rnacentral:tRNA from 34 species
GGGCGGAUGUAGCCAAGUGGAUCAAGGCAGUG